GGGGACGCGCACGCCGCCCUCUGACCCCGCAGCGUCGUGGCUAGAGUAGGGUCUGGAGAGAGCUCCCACUGUGGCGAGUCCUGUCGUUGGAUUCCCGCGGCGCCCCGUAAGGCUCCGCCCCGGCGGUGCUACCAAACCCUGUUCGAUUUUAGAAUCGUACAUUCCCAGAGGGAAUCCUAGACCCCUCAUUUUACAGUUGAGGAAACAGGCCCAAGUAGCAUGACUUGUUCGCGCCGCUAGUCGAAGGAGCAGCAGCCCCGAUCCCUUGACUCUGGGGCACUGCUUUCCCUUUAGCUCAUUUUUGGAGGAAAUGGGUGCGCCCUUGCUCGACCUUUGGUGAUUGCCGCCACAGGCCUUCCCGCCGGCUAACUCAGCGUGCCCAAGUCCCGUGACUUAGUGCCAGGACGGUGCUGUGACCCGUUAUCCCCUGUCGGGUUUUACCUCCCCCCGGGAGAGCUCAGCCCUGGAUCCCGGCGGGCGGCGGAGCCUCUCUGGAGCCCGGACGGGACAGCCCACCAGGGUCUGCUUCUGUGAGGGGCCGAGGCGUCAUUCCGCGAAGCCUUCUCCUUGCUGUUGCCAUGUGAAGAAGGAUGUGUUUGCUUCCCCUUCUGCCAUGAUUGUAAGUUUUCUGAAGCCUCUCCAGCCAUGCCAAACUGAAGCUGCUGGAAGGUACACAUCUUGGGAGUUUGCCCUUUGAAGCUCACCUGUGGACCUUUUUUCCUUUCGAAAAGAAGCAUAAGCUGCAAUAAAAAUUUGGUUUCAAGAUAACAAAGUCAGUCCCCAAAAAUCAGUAUUGAGAGUCACUGACAUUAAAUGAUGAAGAUACGAGGAUGGUGUGGGGACCUUUACUCUUCGAAGAUGAGCUAUACAUGCCCCUGAAAAGGCUGUCUGAAGACAGGGGAAGGCUGGAGAUGGCAACUUUGGCCUCUGCCAAGUACUCGUGCUAUUUUCUGUAUGUGAUACUAUCUGUUUUGUAACUCAGAGGCAACACCACAUACCUAGCAUAAGGCUUGAACUCCCUUUGGGGUUAUCAAUUACUUACAUAGCCUUCCUCUAAGGGAAGGCUUGCAAGUGGUUCAUAUUCGACCCUUCCAUGUGAUAAGCAUUCAUGUGGGCUUCACAAUGUAACAGAGGUACACAGAGAUUCUUGUAAACAGAAAAUUUUAUAAAACUGUUAACUGAUCUCACUUUGAAGAAGUCUUACUGACUAGAUGUCAUUUAUCAGAGUAGACAGGCUUAAAAUGCAUUGCUUGUACUAGACUGUUGUAAUGCAUUUUUUUGUUUUUGCAUUGGUUUUUAAUUCAUUUAAUUGGUUUACACUCAUUUUUUUUUUUACAUUCCAUUUUUGCAUUUGUAUGCCAGUUAAAAAUUAUGAAAUGGCACAUUGUGGGAUUUUGUUUAGCUAAAUUCUAGAAAAAUUGAAAGAUACCUUUUAUUCGACUUAAGCCUGAGGUUAUUCAGCACGGUGAUCUCUGCAUUUUUGAAAGGUUGUCUCGUCGUUUAAUAAACGUAAAUAACUUAAGCACAUUGGAAGAGCUAUUAAAUGAGAGCAGGAGAUUAAAAAGACAUGAUUUCUUACUUUAUCCACCUGACAGGAUAGCUUGCAUUGGUGAUUAACCUUGCAUUGUUAAAUUCAUUUCCUAAAUAUUUAGGUAAGUAGUUGGUUUGAUCAUUAUUUGUAAAGUAUUAGUAGUUGCAUGUUGAAUUAUCAUGUUAAGAUUUUUAGUUUGUUGUUCAUGUGAUAUGAAAGAUAACAAUUCCUAAAACUGAAUGCAUGCAUGGCUUAUUCAGCUCAGGUCACAUACAAAGAGAAAUGUGACGCUGCAAUAAACAUAGCAGAGCUAUCUGGGUUUGAAGCAAAAAGGCUAUGACGUUAGGUAUAUGCACUUUACAUUGUAUGUAUCUUUUUAGUUCUAGUGAACUCAUCUGGAAUCAUGUUACAGAAAAUGAUUCUCCAGGUCCAAACACAUUUAAGUUUAAUGACUGGGACUACUCUAACAAUUGCGGCUAUCUCAUUUUGUCUCAUUGGUUCAUUAGCAUAGCACCCAUUUAAGAACAACUACUUCUAAACACAGUAAUAUUUCAGAGGCUAUAAAAUAAUAGAGAAAGAAAACUUAAAAAAUCCUUUGUUUGCAGCCAAGAAAAUGUGAGGAUCAGAUUUGUACUUGUUUUGAACAAUUGGAAACUGUCACAAUUGUUUUUAAGAUGUAAUAAAUGUAUAUAAAAUAUGGGAUUCUAUAGUAUUAGCCAUUUUGAUAUCUUUUGUUGAAAGAAAAAACCAAAAAACCCCAUAUGUUCUAAGUCUCAGAAAUCAAAGAAUUCCACAAUUUUCAUUUCCACUAAAAUAUUUAUUUAAUGGAUAUCUUACAGAAAUAAAUAAAAACAGUUUUUGUCUAAUACAGAUAGGUUUUUUUAUAUAUAUGUAAUUUGAUUUUACAAAAUUGAAGCAUAUCAAAUUGUUUUCUCUAAAACAUAGCUCAGAAAGGAAUAGUAGAAAACAAACACAAAGAAAUACUGAAAUAGUCUCAUUUUUAAAUUAUAAGCAUGGGCCUUCUGAAUCUCAGCAUGACAUGUUAUUAGUAAAAGAAUGUAAGAUAUGGAGUCAGGGGACCUGGGCUCCACUGUUUACUUGCUACAUGUCCUAAGAAAGUUUCAAUAUAUCUGAACUUCAGUUCUCUACCUUUAAAACAGUAAAGAUAUUAAUUAUAUCAACUUCACAAGAUUGUUGGGUAAAUUAAACACGUAAAUGUACAUGAAAGCUCUUUUUAAUAUGUGAAGAGCUAUAAAAAUAACAGUUUGAUUUAAUUUCAUAUAAAAGAAUCAAUGGAUACCUCCUUUUAACUGAAGAAUAAGCACCAAAAGCAUGUGUGUGUUUUCUUCAGUUGAAUUACAUCACUCUAUAAACCUAGAGUAAGAAAAUGCACCUUAACUAAGCACCAAAGCCUCUCGGACAAAUGGGAUCUAGGGAAUGGUUCUAUGAGUUUUCCAGGCAGCUAACUGGGAGCUAAUAAGUCCUGAGGGUCAAAGAGGGUCCUUUAAAACUCUGAAGGCUCAAAGAAAAGGAAGCCAAAUAAGAACAUUUGUAUUACAUCAAAUGGCUAGGAUGUAACAAGCUACUCCUUAUUCAGCAAUUUCAAAGUCCAUUAAUUCCUCACAGAAGAAGAAACACUUCGUUAUUAUCACUUGCAACGAUUUGCUUAUGUGAACAUGGCAUUCUCUUGUUCAAAAGGUCAAAGACUCGUGCUUAAGGGAGGAACAACUGGAGUGAAAUAACAACUCUACCAUGAAUUCAGAUAUCACUGGCUAAAAAGUCUAGUUACACAAGAACAUGGGAAAGAAAAAGAAUCCAAGACAUC
rnacentral:lncRNA from 1 species